GACGCUGGCGGCGUGCCUAACACAUGCAAGUCGAGCGGAGAAGUUGGGAGCUUGCUCUUGAUUCUUAGCGGCGGACGGGUGAGUAACGCGUGAGCAACCUGCCUACAAACGUGGGGGAUAACGCAUACGAAAGAUGUGCUAAUACCGCGUAAGACCACAUUACCACAUGGUAGGAGGGGUACAAAAGAGCAAUCCGGUUUGAGAUGGGCUCGCGUCCCAUUAGAUAGUUGGUGAGGUAACGGCCCACCAAGUCGACGAUGGGUAGCCGAACUGAGAGGUUGAACGGCCACAUUGGAACUGAGAUACGGUCCAGACUCCUACGGGGAGGCAGCAGGUGGGGAAUAUUGGGCAAGUGGGGGAAACCCUGACCCAGCAACGCCGCGUGAAGGAAGAAGGCCUUCGGGUUGUAAACUUCUUUUACCAGGGACGAAGAACGUGACGGUACCUGGAGAAAAAGCAACGGCUAACUACGUG
rnacentral:rRNA from 1 species